GGUCCCUGUGCAUUAUGACCCAGCAUCCCAAAUGGUAACUGUUCAACUGCCAAACAGCACAUGGCCCCUUAGGAUUGGUGUAUUGAAACCUGUAAAGCAGCCAAUCCCCUGUUCCUAGCCUUCCAGAAGGAGGUCACAUGGUCCUCUGUUGGCUGGAUUUCAGGUUAUGAUUCCCUGUAAAGGGAGGUGGACAGUCACCUAAAAUGUAUCUUGAUGUCAAGACUGAUGUUGCCACAUGCAGACCAAGAGGAUAUGAAAAGCUUUCACUGUUGAAGUUCCUGAGGAAGGCAGGCGGACUCUGUAUCAACUGAGCCACCAAGGAAGCCGCUUAGUUGCACCAGGGAAUCCAAGUACUUCUACCAAUACUGUUAGCAGGAUAGACUCAGAGAAUCAGAUCAGCAUCGACUUCUUCCAUCAGGAAGAAAUGAACUACUUUUCCAAGGAAGCAGAGUUUCUCUCAAGCCAGCUAAG
ensembl:lncRNA